rnacentral:rRNA from 1 species
CAGCAGCCGCGGGAAUACGUAGGUGGCAAGCGUUGUCCGGAAUUAUUGGGCGUAAAGGGCUCGCAGGCGGUUUCUUAAGUCUGAUGUGAAAGCCCCCGGCUCAACCGGGGAGGGUCAUUGGAAACUGGGAAACUUGAGUGCAGAAGAGGAGAGUGGAACUCCACGUGUAGCGGUGAAAUGCGUAGAGAUGUGGAGGAACACCAGUGGCGAAGGCGACUCUCUGGUCUGUAACUGACGCUGAGGAGCGAAAGCGUGGGGAGCGAACAGGAUUAGAUACCCCAGUAGUCCCUGUCUCUUAUAC